GCCUUGGUGGUGUAGUGGUUAGCACGCUCGGCGCGUAUUCGAGAGGUCCGUGGUUCGAGUCCCGGCGACGGCG
rnacentral:tRNA from 1 species